GGUUUGACAAACUCGCUGCCUUCAUGACCGAUUGUUUUUCAUCGCCGCCGAUGAGUGUGAAAAUACAAAAUGGAGCGGACAAGCGCUGUCGCCCCAUCGUUCUUAAAUGGCAGGCUCAGUAACAAAUAUCUGCAAUAAACCUCUAUAUAAAUGUUCCAAGAUUUUGAAUGAAGGCAUAUGAGAAUAUCGUGCACUUUGUGGAUGUUUCUUUGUGAUUCGUGUCCGGAUAUUUUGUUUUCGCCUAGUAACGAUUUCUUAAUUUUGUUUUUCUAUGGGAACAGUAUUUAUAUUCGCGUAUUUAACAGUCAUUCCGUGAAAGAAUUUCUAUUUCCCUGAAAAUAGUUGAAAGAUGUAAAUUGCAAUUGAUAAUCAUCUAAGUAGUAUUGUUAUGUUUAACAACAUCAUAUAUUUAGAUUAUUAUUUUUAAAACCCAGUCUAUAUAUUCUGAAAUAACGGUUAUCUAAAAUUGUUUUACUUUCUAUUCCACCUAGCUAGUAUAAGCGUCCCUUGUGUCAUACUAGUAUAUACCAUCUCUUUAAUAAAUCUACUGCAUGAAUUAUGUGAUCUGU
rnacentral:sRNA from 1 species